rnacentral:lncRNA from 1 species
AGGAUUUGGAGUUUCAUGGAGUCAUGAGAUUUUAUUUUCAAGAUAAAGCUGCUGGAAACUUUGCAACAAAAUGUAUUCGGGUCUCUAGCACAGCAACCACUCAAGAUGUCAUUGAAACACUGGCAGAGAAGUUCCGCCCUGAUAUGCGCAUGCUCUCCUCUCCCAAGUACUCCCUCUAUGAAGUGCAUGUCAGUGGAGAAGAAAGAAGAUUGGACAUUGAUGAGAAACCUCUAGUUGUACAGUUGAAUUGGAACAAAGAUGAUCGGGAGGGUAGAUUCGUCCUUAAGAACGAGAAUGACGCCAUUCCUGCCAAGAAGGCUCAGAGUAAUGGACCUGAGAAGCAGGAGAAAGAAGGUGUUAUUCAGAACUUCAAAAGAACUCUGUCAAAGAAAGAAAAGAA